CCGCAUCCGCAGCUGGGUUCGGCAGCUGGGUCCCGGCGGGGCGGGCACGGCAGCGGCUCUGCUGCACUGCCCGCGGCGGCCCGAGAGCGGCCGCUCCGCUGGGGCCGGGGCUAUCGCAACAGGGCCUGGGCUGUGAGCCCAGCUCUCAGCGUGAGCCGCGCUAGGAGCUGCCACUAGCGAAACCUGAACUGAAAUUUAGCUGGGUGUGAGGUAUGAAAAGAUCAGCAGAGGUGCCAGCUCAGAGCACAGCGUGGGUUCAGGUACUAAAAGUGCUGGAAAUCCAUUGCCAUAAAAUGGGAGAGAACUUCAUAAAAGCGUAGAAUUCUGUAUUUCACACCGGAGGGGGAAUUUUAAUGGAAAGGAAGGAACCAGGUUUCAAGCCUACCUGUCUCUCUGUCAUGCCUUGACCUCUGAAAUUAUCCCUUUGAACCAUGUGGUUUCCAUCACUUUACAGGAGAGAAGGCUUUUGACUGCAGUUUCGCUCACUCUCCCAUCCUCCUUGGGAUGUUUUCAGCCCUGAAUGAGAAUAGAAACUUCAGAUCACUGCUUUGCCUUUGCUCAUAUCACUUCACAGGAGAUCACAUGUUCCUCAUUUCAAAGUACAAGUAGUAACUGUCUUCUUCCCUCAUGGUCUCUUCCAUCUGGAAAGAUGUUUUGGAAUCAGUAUAUCUAGAUGAUUUAAUCUAAUUUCCAGAUUGGCUUAAUGAGCAUUAAUGUUUUUGUCACCAUAGCACUUUAGUUGAAUUAGUCCACAGAAUCAGCGUGGCAUAAAAAUGUAUAAUACUGUGAGAAGGAUUACUAUGAUGCAAGGAUGCUUGAGGCUGGAUAUUUCUGGUAAAGGUGGGAGUGUUAAUGCCCUGGUGAAGGACAAUGCUUAUCAGAAUCAUGUACAAUUCUAACUGUCCAAGUUAAAAAGGAAAAAAACCUUAAGAUGUCUAAGUACAGUUUAUGACAAAGGAAUGAAGAGUUUGUUCUACAAAAAGGAUCUGGCUUUGCUUUUAAAAACCUGAAAUAUGAUUGAGCCUUUAAUCAGAAGGUAAAAAACUGAUCUAUAGGGAAAAACUAUAAUUAAGAUAGACACAAAUUUGGUUCAACAGAACAAUGAGGUUCUGUAACUACUUCAAGAUAUGAGUUAUGAGGCAAACAACUGAACUAGUUUUAGCUGGAAUUAUCUAAGGGAGAUGAGACUCAGUUGCCUAAAAUGUCCAGGGUGUAGAUCACUGUAGGAGAUCUGUCCUGUGUGGUAACCUGCCAGGUUGCAGUAGCCAAAUGCUUCUGAUUGUGUUCUUGCAUACUGUUUGCUAAUCUAUUUCCUGACUGCUCUUACCAAAAUUUGUUUACAUUUGUAACUGAAAUAAACAAUCCUAUGCUUUGACUUUUCUUUGGUGAACUGAAAAAUGAAAUAACUUGAAAAAGUUUAUUUUAAUAUCUUUCUAGAAAAUUAAUUAAACAGACUCAAAGAAGUAGAAGUAUUUUUCAGAGAAAACCUUAAAAGUCUGAUUUUAAAUUUUUUUUUCCUCUUUGUUUCAACUUUGUGCAGCACCUAACCUUUGAAAUUAUAGGCAUGCUCAAGCAAAACAACUCUAUUUUAGCUCAACAUAUUAAUUCAUUCAGUUCUGUUGUUUUAUUUGAGGGUGCAUUUGUGUUGUGCACACUGAAAUAGAUCUUUCAGAUGGAUCUUUAUGAAAUACCAAUGCACACCGAGAAGCAAAUUCAUCCUUCUACUAGAAACAGCACAGUUAAAAAAAAAAAAAGAAAAUUAAAUUCAUGUACUUCUGAGAUAUGUACAUCUGCAGAUGUUAGGUUUGAGGAAAAAAUCUUCUGUGCACCUGCAAAAAUUGUGUAGAAUAAUCCUACUAAGUGCUCCAGUGAUUACCACUGAACCUAAGGAGUCAGAUAUAUAGGGCAAAAAUGAUGCCUUAGAUUUUGGCAUUCUACACAAUGUAUUUAUUAUUGAAUUGCUUUUUUCAGAGCCAAUGUAAAUGUUAAAUCUCAGAAAAUUAGUUUGUAGAGAUUUUCCUCGUCUGCUUUCUCCUCAUGGCACAUUGUCUCAAUAUUUUGGACAAAAAGUUUAUUCUUUCCCUAUAGAAGUCACCAUCUUUUAAUGUCAGUCUAAUUAAAGAGCACAGAAAAACUGAUGCUGGUGAGUAAUAGAAUUAAAAGCCAAAAAGGAAAAGUGGGAAAAAAUCAUAGAGUCAUUAAUUCAUCUUACUUACCCCUUCACUGUGGAUUGGGAGGUGAUGUCAAGAUUAGUAGAUUGUACAAUUGGGAUGCAAUCUAAAA